rnacentral:rRNA from 1 species
UCGAGAAUCAUUCACAAUGGGGGAAACCCUGAUGGUGCGACGCCGCGUGGGGGAAUGAAGGUCUUCGGAUUGUAAACCCCUGUCAUGUGGGAGCAAAUUAAAAAGAUAGUACCACAAGAGGAAGAGACGGCUAACUCUGUGCCAGCAGCCGCGGUAAUACAGAGGUCUCAAGCGUUGUUCGGAAUCACUGGGCGUAAAGCGUGCGUAGGCGGUUUCGUAAGUCGUGUGUGAAAGGCGGGGGCUCAACCCCCGGACUGCACAUGACACUGCGAGACUAGAGUAAUGGAGGGGGAACCGGAAUUCUCGGUGUAGCAGUGAAAUGCGUAGAUAUCGAGAGGAACACUCGUGGCGAAGGCGGGUUCCUGGACAUUAACUGACGCUGAGGCACGAAGGCCAGGGGAGCGAAAGGG